GCCAGCAGCGUGGUGGCUGAGCUGCCGAUGGGGCAUGGAGGGAGCGGAGGAGGAGGAGGAGGAGAGCGCGCGCGUCUUCUCCGGCUACCCAGCCGUCCGGCGUGUCAACAUUGCAGUGGAUGAGACUAAUGUCCUGCCGGGGUCUCUGCAGCUUAUCCGAACGCUCAGACCACAAUGGGAGACGGAGCGAGUUAAAACCAAGCUCUUCACUGAAGGCAUCACCAACAAGCUAAUGGCUUGUUUCACAGAUGAGAAUAUGAGAGAUGCAGUCCUGGUGCGGGUCUAUGGCAGGAAAACAGAACUUAUUGUGGACCGAGCCAAUGAGCUGAGAAAUUUCCAAGUCCUUCAGGACAACGGCUGUGCUCCCAAUCUCUUCUGCACUUUUGAGAAUGGAUAUUGCUAUGAGUUCAUGCCAGGGAAGGCUCUGGGACCAGAACAUAUCCGGGAGCCAAGUAUGUUCAGGCUAGUAGCCCAGGAGAUGGCAAAAAUGCACAGAAUUCACACCAAUGGGAGUCUCCCCAAGCCUUGUCUUUGGCACAGAUUGUACAAGUACCUUAAUAUUGUGAAAACUGAGUUUGCUCAAAAGGUAUCAAAUUCCAGCUUUCUUCAGGAAAUGCAGAUUCCUAGCCUAGAGGUGUUAGAAGAAGAGAUUCACUGGAUGAAAGAACAUCUCUCCCAGCUUCAGUCUCCAAUCGUCUUCUGCCACAAUGACCUUUUGAGCAAAAACAUCAUCUACAACAAAGCUGAAUGUCAUGUCCGGUUCAUAGAUUAUGAAUAUACUGGCUACAAUUAUCAAGCAUAUGACAUUGGGAAUCAUUUUAAUGAAUUUGCAGGGCUCAACGAAGUCGAUUACAGCUUAUAUCCAUGCAAGGAGGUCCAGUUGCAAUGGCUGAGGUACUACCUGCAGUCUUACAAGAAACUGAGCCCAGAGGACCAGGGAGAAGGAAACAAAAGCAGAGGAGGGAGUGGAGCAGUGUCUGAAGAAGAACUGGAGAGUCUCUAUGUGCAAGUGAACCAGUUUGCUUUGGCUUCCCAUUUUCUGUGGGCUUGCUGGGGCCUGAUCCAAGCCCAAUUCUCUACGAUAGACUUUAAUUUUGCCAGGUACGCAGACAUAAGAUUUAAGCAGUACUUUAAAACAAAACCUGUGGUGACUUCCCUUCAAAUGUCCAAGUGAGGUUAAAGUCCAAAGAGUCUUCUGGUUCUCAAGAUUCCACUCUUAUUUUCUCUGGUGUAGAGCACCUGCCACCCUCUCCUCCUGCAGUGCUGAGUGGUCAGACAUCAUGAAACAGGGCUGGGAAACAAAAGUGCACCUUCCACAAAAGCAAAAAAAUCUACAAAGCCCCUGAACUUGGCUGUGCCAUCCACGGAUUACCUGCCACAUGUUGGUUUCAGAAGGUGCUUGAUUUCAAGCGAAAGGAUAGGCCUUCUUGUCUGGGCAAAAGUAUUCUGACAGGCCUCCGGAGGGCAGCAAAGAGUUAUGAAUGCAUUCAUUCUUUUGACCCAGCAGCUGCAAAUGUCUGCUUGUGAACCAUUCCCUUCCUCUCCCCUGUAGCAGCUUCUCUACUCUAGGUAAUUUUUAUGACAUUGUAAUUUCAUGUUUUUCUUAAAGGGGCAGAUGUUGUUAUCAGCAGCCUUACUGAUGAUUCCGAAAGACCCAAUAGUUUGGAAAAUGGGAUGGGAUGGAGCUAGAAAAGUGAGUUAAAUAUUAGGAAAACGGCUUCAUCAUGUGGUGUAUAUAGAAAAAAAGAUUAAUCUCAGACUAGAAAGUUUAAGAAGCUUGUAGUGUGCCGAAGUUAGAUGGUGACUUAGCAACCUGUAAUCAUCUAGACCAGUAUUUCUCAAUCUUGGCAACUUUAAGAUAUGUACACUUCAAUUCCCAUAAUUCUCCAGCCACCAUGUCUGGCUUGGGAAUUCUGGGAAAUUAAGUCCAGACAUCUUAUAGUUCAAUAAAAUCAUUACUUUUGGCUGCCAACACUAUAUGUACCCUCCCUAGGAGCUACACAUUAUCCCACCAAUAAUUUUAUUUUGAAUUAUUAAAGAAAGGCCAGAGUUCAAUAUCUGGUUUUGUACAGCAUUCUAACUGGGAUAAACAGGAUUGUGUAGUUUGUGACAGCAUCCAACCAGUUUAAAGUAUUGUGUGAACCCAGCCUUAUUGUUCAAAAUGGCCUUCUUUAUAACAACAAAGUCUUAACCAUCAAAAAACUUUAAAAUGCAUUUUAUAAGAUUUAGCUGGUUGCCAAGUCAGCCCCUUUGGAUUUUUCAAAAGCUUUAUCCAAUUAACUGGAUGUUUUAUUGUCAGCUGUGCGCAUCCUAAUUCUGAAGGCUUAUCUAACAUUGCUAGACAUAUGCAGAGCAACUGAAAUUUCAUUCAGUGCAUGGCUUCCUUCAUUACCUCCCUUCACCAAAGAGGGAAAGAUAGCACUGCCAUAAUAUAAUGAAGAGCGGAAUACAAAUCACCUUAGUAUAUAAAAUAUCUCUUGCUCCAUUUCCUCAUAUUUAGUGCAAAAGCAAUCAGAAUCACAACAUUAUUAACACAUGUACCAGCUAUAGAAAAUACUAAUGUCCUUUUAAGUUAGAAGACAUUCACCCUUCCUCUGAGACACUGUUGUGGAAGGGAGUGGUUUUAGUCAGUUUCCUUUUUCACAUUAGAGGUAUUUAGUCUACUCAGGAUUUUUACAGUUUUGCCAUAUAAUCCAUCUUAAAUAUCAUUCAGAGAAAGCAAAGGCAGCAAAAACUAUUACUCUAUAUAGUAUCUGUCCUUGGUUUUUGGGAGAGCAGGAAAAACUCAUAAAUUGUGCUAUUUUUUUGCAUUUCAAGAUUAGGCUGGAUGAAAAGUAAAGCUUAUUACUCUUAUUUAGAAGGCUUCUGGGUGCAGGGACCUCUGUGGAGGAAAUUCCUAGAGGGAUAGUACAAAAAAUGUUAAAAGCCAACAUUGCCACCUAAACAAUCUCAGAAUGGCUCAUUGGAGCGGUGAAUGCUCCAACACUGGAAGUUUUUAAGAAGAGACUGGACAGCCAUUUGUCUGAAAUGGUAUAGGGUUUCCUGCCUGAGCAGGGGGUUGGACUAGAUGACCUCCAAGGUCCCUUCCAACUUUAUUAUUAUUAUUGUCCUGACUACAGUCCUUGUAGGAAUGGGCAGAUCAAUCUCUGUUCCCUCCAUCCAAUCAAGAAGGGAACACAGAAACUGGAUCUUGAACAUCUUCUCACCCUGUGUCUAGUUUUUACUUUGCUGUCUUUGUUCUUGGGGAGGAAAACAGAUGAAAAGUCAGUCUAGACAAAUCUCUACAUGAGUUAUGAUGCUUUCACAAGCAAGGUGGAGGUGGAGAGCCGUGGAAUUGGUUCAGCAGUGGGCAAAGUGUUUGCCCAUUUAACCCUAACUGCAAAAUGGAAAUGUUUUUAUUUGAAUGUCUAGGUAGCCAAUCUGCCUUUUUCUGAAAUAAUAUAUACUAUAUAGAAAUUGGAGCCAGAGUGGGGAUUGCUGCACAGCAUAAACAAUACAAAAGCUCCAUGGAGCAGUGUCAUAAAUUACCUAAUUCUCUGUCUUCUAAGCAAGUAGGAGGCUUAAGCUGUCUUUGACAUCUCCACCUAUCAGACCAAGAUGGAACCUGCUGCCAGGAUCUAUGUUUCACUCUUUGCAUAGCCUGUUAAUACAGUACUUUCAAAGCAAAGAUUAGCAUUUUUCCAAGGUAGUGCAUUCUGGAUACUCGUAUGGAAGCAAAAUUGGUUUUUAAACACUGAAUUGCUGAGAGCAUUUUUGGCAAAUUUAUCUUCACGAGAUCAUAUAAUGUGCAUACUAUUUGCUAGGGAGAAUAAAGGAAUAGCAUAGCAGGAAGUUUUAGGAAAUAAGUGAACUUAUUUAUACAACAGGAUCUCAACCAUCUUUACUUCAGAGGGAUUCACAAUGAUACUGCAUUGUCAUGUUCUCAGUGUUGACACAGUAUUGUGCAUGGGUCUCUUUCAUUAUGUGAUGUCAUAGUGAGGUAAAAGCUUCAGAGGGAAUUUAGAUCUACUUAAAAACAGUAAAACACAUUUUUGCCCUGAAGAUUAAAGUAUAUGGAGUAUGUCAGUAUGAAAUAGAAGUCUCUGUAGAUAAUUGUGUUAUUAAAACAAUCACAGCAUACCAGCAAACUGUUAAAAAAGGCCUGAAGACAGAUACAGGGUCAUUGGCCUUAUCUCAGAGGCAUCACAAACCUCUCAACGCACCACAUUGAGGUGUGUUGAUGUAUAUCUCUACUCGUCCUCAUAUAGUCAGAAUCAAGCAAUUUAUGAAGUUUUAUAGCUUGAUUUUUAUACCAUGAAAAAUUGAUUUGUUAUCUGAACACAAACAAGAUUGCAGUGCGGGUGACAUUGUGUAGUAGUAUUGUGUACUUGAAAGAGAAAUCUGCAUAAUUAUGCGAUGUAGUUACUGUUUGAAAUAUAUGAUUGCUUUGAAGCUUUAGGGGUUUUCAGAACCAUUGCUUUACGUGGUGCUUGUUUGUCUCGAGAGCAAAACAGUUGAGCAAACUGAGGUAACAGGGUAAAAGCCAACAAAGGCAUCUUUAGUAUGGGCAGAACUUUCUCAGUUCAUCCAAGCAAUGAACUGGUUAGGCUAAACUUUCAAGGAUUAGUCUACAUCUCUUAAUUGAUUACCUCACAGUGACUUGCUAUUUUUUUUUAUAAAAAUGUGCAGAUGCCAGCACUUCUCUCUUUGUAUGUGGCACCACUAAUUUUCUUAGCAAUUUUCAUGUACUCCAUUCCAUUCGUGUGCUCCAUUCCAUGUACAUAAACAAGAUUUUUCUGUAUUAUGAUAGUUGCUGACAAUAUUGAAUGAACUGUGUGUUCCUACAGGUACAUGUCAAAUCGGUGGACUUUGUUUCUUGAAUGAAAGACAAAACGGAACUUUUAAACACCAAAUGUCUCUUUUCAUCUAUAAAGCCAAUGUUAAAAUUAAAAACUGGAGGGAAGAUGUUUUGUUUCUGAGUAAUCAACUAUUCUUAUUAUGCAGCUUAUUGUCUUUGGUUAGUUCAUUUGUUUAAAUCAGUACCUAAAUUAGGCUGGGAGCUGUGCUUCAGCAGCAACGAAAGGGUCUCAGAUUCUCUAUCUCUCCUGUCUUCUGCUCCAAUACUUAUUCUACAUAAGUAGUAUUAUUUCUUGUCAUGUUUAACUGGCUUUAGAAGAGAUAGAAAGAAGUAGAAGCUACUAACCUAAUACCUGGGACACAAUCAUACAUGUCUGGGCCGAUGAUCAAGAGAGAUCCCUGUCUCCCUCAAAGAGAUUUUUCCGGUAUCAUUUGCCUGCUCAAGGUAAUUUCUCUCAGGCAAUUGCUAUGCUUCAAAGCAGCCAGAAUACAGUACAGUAUUGUACAUGGAUCUGUACUACAUAGU